GUGGGGAAUAUUGGACAAUGGGCGAAAGCCUGAUCCAGCCAUGCCGCGUGUGUGAAGAAGGUCUUCGGAUUGUAAAGCACUUUAAGUUGGGAGGAAGGGCAGUAAGUUAAUACCUUGCUGUUUUGACGUUACCGACAGAAUAAGCACCGGCUAACUUCGUGCCAGCAGCCGCGGUAAUACGAAGGGUGCAAGCGGUAAUCGGAAUUACUGGGCGUAAAGCGCGCGAAGGUGGUUUUGUAAGUUGGAGGUGAAAUCCCCGGGCUCAACCUGGGAACUGCCUCCAAAACUGCAUGACUAGAGUACGGUAGAGGGUAGUGGAAUAUCCUGUGUAGCGGUGAAAUGCGUAGAUAUAGGAAGGAACACCAGUGGCGAAGGCGACUACCUGGACUGAUACUGACACUGAGGUGCGAAAGCGUGGGGAGCAAACAGGAUUAGAUACCCGAGUAGUCC
rnacentral:rRNA from 1 species